UACAGAGGUCCCAAGCGUUGUUCGGAUUCACUGGGUUUAAAGGGUGCGUAGGCGGGUAAGUAAGUCCGUGGUGAAAUCUCUGAGCUUAACUCAGAAACUGCCGUGGAUACUAUUUGCCUUGAAUAUUGUGGAGGUGAGCGGAAUUCCUGGUGUAGCGGUGAAAUGCGUAGAGAUCAGGAGGAACACCUGUGGUGUAGACAGCUUACUGGACGGUGACUGACGCUGAGGCACGAAAGCGUGGGUAGCAAACAGG
rnacentral:rRNA from 1 species